AGUGAACGCUGGCGGUAGGCCUAACACAUGCAAGUCGAACGGCAGCACAGUAAGAGCUUGCUCUUACGGGUGGCGAGUGGCGGACGGGUGAGGCAUACAUCGGAAUCUACUUUUUCGUGGGGGAUAACGUAGGGAAACUUACGCUAAUACCGCAUACGACCUACGGGUGAAAGCAGGGGAUCUUCGGACCUUGCGCGACUGAAUGAGCCGAUGUCGGAUUAGCUAGUUGGCGGGGUAAAGGCACACCAAGGCGACGAUCCGUAGCUGGUCUGAGAGGAUGAUCGGCCACACUGGAACUGAGACACGGUCCAGACUCCUACGGGAGGCAGCAGUGGGGAAUAUUGGACAAUGGGCGCAAGCCUGAUCCAGCCAUACCGCGUGGGUGAAGAAGGCCUUCGGGUUGUAAAGCCCUUUUGUUGGGAAAGAAAAGCAGCAGGUUAAUACCCCGCUGUUCUGACGGUACCCAAAGAAUAAGCACCGGCUAACUUCGUG
rnacentral:rRNA from 1 species